GAACUGCGAUAAGUAAUGUGAAUUGCAGAAUUCAGUGAAUCAUCGAGUCUUUGAACGCACAUUGCGCCCCCUGGCAUUCCGGGGGGCAUGCCUGUCCGAGCGUCAUUGCUGCCCUCAAGCCCGGCUUGUGUGUUGGGUCGUCGUCCCCCCCGGGGGACGGGCCCGAAAGGCAGCGGCGGCACCGUGUCCGGUCCUCGAGCGUAUGGGGCUUUGUCACCCGCUCGAUUAGGGGCGGCCGGGCGCCAGCCGGCGUCUCCAACCUUAUUUUUCUCAGGUUGACCUCGGAUCAGGUAGGGAUACCCGCUGAACUUAAGC
rnacentral:misc_RNA from 1 species